UACGUAGGGGGCAAGCGUUGUCCGGAAUCAUUGGGCGUAAAGCGCGUGUAGGCGGCUCGAUAAGUCUGCUGUGAAAGUCCAGGGCUCAACCCUGGGAUGCCGGUGGAUACUGUCGAGCUCGAGUCCGGAAGAGGCGAGUGGAAUUCCUGGUGUAGCGGUGAAAUGCGCAGAUAUCAGGAGGAACACCAAUGGCGAAGGCAGCUCGCUGGGACGUGACUGACGCUGCGACGCGAAAGCGUGGGGAUCAAACAGG
rnacentral:rRNA from 1 species